rnacentral:rRNA from 1 species
GAUGAACGCUGGCAGCGUGCCUAACACAUGCAAGUCGAGCGAUCUUCUUCGGAAGAGAGCGGCGGACGGGUGAGUAACGCGUGGGUAACCUGCCCUGUACACACGGAUAACAUACCGAAAGGUAUGCUAAUACGAGAUAAUAUAUGAGAGUUGCAUGACUUUCAUAUCAAAGCUUUUGCGGUACAGGAUGGACCCGCGUCUGAUUAGCUAGUUGGUAAGGUAACGGCUUACCAAGGCGACGAUCAGUAGCCGACCUGAGAGGGUGAUCGGCCACACUGGAACUGAGACACGGUCCAGACUCCUACGGGAGGCAGCAGUGGGGAAUAUUGCACAAUGGGCGAAAGCCUGAUGCAGCAACGCCGCGUGAGCGAUGAAGGCCUUCGGGUCGUAAAGCUCUGUCCUCAAGGAAGAUAAUGACGGUACUUGGGGAGGAAGCCCCGGCUAACUACGUGCCAGCCGCCGCCGUAAUAC